rnacentral:rRNA from 1 species
UGGGGAAUAUUGGACAAUGGGCGCAAGCCUGAUCCAGCCAUGCCGCGUGAGUGAUGAAGGCCCUAGGGUUGUAAAGCUCUUUCACCGGUGAAGAUAAUGACGGUAACCGGAGAAGAAGCCCCGGCUAACUUCGUGCCAGCAGCCGCGGUAAUACGAAGGGGGCUAGCGUUGUUCGGAUUUACUGGGCGUAAAGCGCACGUAGGCGGACUUUUAAGUCAGGGGUGAAAUCCCGGGGCUCAACCCCGGAACUGCCUUUGAUACUGGAAGUCUUGAGGAUGGUAGAGGUGAGUGGAAUUCCGAGUGUAGAGGUGAAAUUCGUAGAUAUUCGGAGGAACACCAGUGGCGAAGGCGGCUCACUGGACCAUUACUGACGCUGAGGUGCGAAAGCGUGGGGAGCAAACAGG